rnacentral:rRNA from 1 species
AUUGAACGCUGGCGGCAUGCCUUACACAUGCAAGUCGAACGGCAGCACGGGAGCAAUCCUGGUGGCGAGUGGCGAACGGGUGAGUAAUAUAUCGGAACGUGCCCAGUCGUGGGGGAUAACGCAGCGAAAGUUGUGCUAAUACCGCAUACGAUCUAUGGAUGAAAGCGGGGGAUCGCAAGACCUCGCGCGAUUGGAGCGGCCGAUAUCAGAUUAGGUUGUUGGUGAGGUAAAAGCUCACCAAGCCUGCGAUCUGUAGCUGGUCUGAGAGGACGACCAGCCACACUGGAACUGAGACACGGUCCAGACUCCUACGGGAGGCAGCAGUGGGGAAUUUUGGACAAUGGACGAAAGUCUGAUCCAGCAAUGCCGCGUGCAGGACGAAGGCCUCGGUUGUAACUAGC